AAAAAAGUGUGUAAGUUUUUUUUUUCUAUAUAUUGCAAUUCAUUUCUCUCAUCUUUAUGUUUCUUUUUUUUAUUUUCAGUUUUAAAAUUUUAAUUAUGUAAAAAUUCAUCUUAUUAUUGUGCUCCUCUUAAAAAAUUUAACUAGAAAGGGAUUUCACCGGUUAAGUCGUUGAAAUCGAGAAUCAGAGUCUCUAAAGUCUUGACAUACAUGAGCUCGUGAGGGAUCUCUCCUUCUAACAUAUUCAGCCAUAGUUUCAGAUCUUGAAGCUUCGAUAGGGAGCCUAAGCUCGAAGGAAUUGUCCCGGAGAGGUAAUUGAAGCUCAAGUGAAGCGAAACGAGCUCAGAGCAGUUGCUUAACGUCGGUGGGAUCUUCCCGGUGAAGCCAUUGUUCUGAAGGUAAAGCUCCUGGAGAGUAUUUUUAGGAUUCCGACAGAGAUUUGGGAAAAUCGGACCGGAAAAAUAGUUGGAGCUGAGAUCUAGCGUUAGCAACGAAGCAGACAGAUUCGCCGGAAAACUCAUUGAAAGACAGAUCGAGUACUUGAGACCUCUCAUCUUCAGUAACGUAUCCAUUGGUAACUUGCCAGAGAAGUUGUUACUCGACAACACAUGUGAUUCCAGAAGUGAACAAGAGCCGAAGAAAGGAGGAACCGUACCGGAUAAUUUGUUCCCGGAGAUGUCAAGAUGUUGCAAAGCCAAGCAAUCUCCGAGAAAUGGAAUCCCAAUGGAGAAAUUGUUGGAAGAAACAUCGAGAAACUUGAGAGUCACGCAACGAGAAACAUCAAGGCCUGUUAGAGUCGUUACAGGACCGGAAAGAGAGUUUCUUGAUAGAGCCAAGCUGGUGAGAGAAGCAGAGCACUUGAAGCCAGAAAUGGAGCCGUUGAUGAGACUCUAAUCCGGUGAUUAGAAGAAGAAGAAGAAGAAGAAGAAGAUCUUAGGGGGAAUUUUGUUCCGCCAUUAGAGAGGCCGUGGAAGAAGCUCAAGAGGGGG
rnacentral:lncRNA from 1 species